CAAUAGCGUAUAUUUAAGUUGUUGCAGUUAAAAAGCUCGUAGUUGGAUUUCGGGUGGGACGCAGCGGUCUCGCAUUGCGUUUGUACUGCUGCAGCCCUCCUUCUUGCCGGGGGCGGCCUCUCGGACUUCACUGUCUGGGGGUCAGAAUCGGCGAUGUUACUUUGAGUAAAUUAGAGUGUUCAAAGCAAGCUUACGCUCUGAAUAUAAUAGCAUGGGAUAACACGACAGGACUCUGGCCUAUCGUGUUGGUCUAUAGGACCAGAGUAAUGAUUAAGAGGGACAGUCGGGGGCAUUCGUAUUCCGUUGUCAGAGGUGAAAUUCUUGGAUUUACGGAAGACGAACAUCUGCGAAAGCAUUUGCCAAGGAUGUNUUCAUNGA
rnacentral:rRNA from 1 species